rnacentral:rRNA from 1 species
AUGCCAUGGCAGAAAUUUCACUGCCCGGUCACUACCUUCUAUCAUCAUCAUCGGAACCAUCGCUGUCCCUCCUCCUCCCACCGGAGACACCACAUGCCAUCCGAGACGAGUAUCCUCGCCUCCACUAUUCCCAACCACACGAGAUGGAACUCUCUUCACUACCGUUGCCGCACGUGUAGCCGUUUAGGGAGGCAAUGUUGCGGCCAUGUCGUGCCACGAGCUUCAGCAAGGCGGAGAAUCAUCUCAAUCCCCCAUACACACUUCCCAGCGUCCUUGAGCUCCCGUAGGCCACCACGAGCUUCCGUCGGCGACGCACACAAAGUGUUCAACUAA